rnacentral:rRNA from 1 species
AGAUUAAACUAAAGAGUUUGAUCCUGGCUCAGAUUGAACGCUGGCGGCAUGCCUUACACAUGCAAGUCGAACGGCAGCACGGACUUCGGUCUGGUGGCGAGUGGCGAACGGGUGAGUAAUAUAUCGGAACGUACCCAAGAGUGGGGGAUAACGUAGCGAAAGUUACGCUAAUACCGCAUACGAUCUAUGGAUGAAAGCAGGGGACCGCAAGGCCUUGUGCUCCUGGAGCGGCCGAUAUCUGAUUAGCUAGUUGGUGGGGUAAAGGCCCACCAAGGCAUCGAUCAGUAGCUGGUCUGAGAGGACGACCAGCCACACUGGAACUGAGACACGGUCCAGACUCCUA